rnacentral:rRNA from 1 species
CCUACGGGUGACAGCAGUGGGGAAUAUUGCACAAUGGGGGAAACCCUGAUGCAGCGACGCCGCGUGAGUGAAGAAGUCCUUCGGUAUGUAAAGCUCUUUCAGCAGGGAAGAAAAUGACGGUACCUGACUAAGAAUCCACGGCUAACUACGUGCCAGCAGCCGCGGUAAUACGUCGGGGGCAGGCGUUAUCCGGAUUUACUGGGUGUAAUGGGAGCGUAGACGGCCAGACAAGUCAGAAGUGAAAGCCCAGGGCUCAACCCUGGGACUGCUUUUGAAACUGCCGGGCUGGAGUGCAGGCGAGGUAAGCGGAAUUCCUAGUGUAGCGGUGAAAUGCGUAGAUAUGAGGAGGAACACCAGUGGCGAAGGCGGCUUGCUGGACUGUAACUGACGUUGAGGCUCGAAAGCGUGGGGAGCAAACAGGAUUAGAUACCCUAGUAGUC